rnacentral:rRNA from 2 species
UGAGACCUUGAGUCUCCUGAAGGAACGUUGAAGACGACGACGUUGAUAGGUCGGGUGUGUAAGCGCAGCGAUGCGUUGAGCUAACCGAUACUAAUGAACCGUGAGGCUUAACCUUACAACGCCGAAGC